rnacentral:rRNA from 1 species
AACGAACGCUGGCGGCAUGCCUAACACAUGCAAGUCGAACGGGACCUUCGGGUCUAGUGGCGCACGGGUGCGUAACGCGUGGGAACCUGCCCUUAGGUUCGGAAUAACUCCCCGAAAGGGGUGCUAAUACCGGAUAAUGUCUUCGGACCAAAGAUUUAUCGCCUUUGGAUGGGCCCGCGUUGGAUUAGCUAGUUGGUAGGGUAAAAGCCUAUCAAGGCGACGAUCCAUAGCUGGUCUGAGGGGAUGAUCAGCCACACUGGGACUGAGACACGGCCCAGACUCCUACGGGAGGCAGCAGUGGGGAAUAUUGGACAAUGGGCGAAAGCCUGAUCCAGCAAUGCCGCGUGAGUGAUGAAGGCCUUAGGGUUGUAAAGCUCUUUUACCCGGGAUGAUAAUGACAGUACCGGGAGAAUAAGCGCCGGCUAACUCCGUG